AACCUGCUAAGUGAGCCUAAUUCAGGCACAUUUACAGUCUUGUACAACAUAACAGUAGAGAAUCCUAAUGUGGCAUAUUAGGUGACUGGCUUCAGCUUGACCUUGACCAUAGCAGAGCAGAGAGUGGACAGUGAUUAAUCAACACCCAGGUGUUCAGAAGCAAGUUAGCCCCGAAGUGGCCAGAGGUGAGUGUUAGAAAUAGCCGGAGAGUCAAGGAUGAAGUAUGAGGCAGAGCCAGAGUUGAGCACAAGAUGUCCAAGCAAAAGACACCAAGACUAAACAGGAGCAUAAGAGUCACAAAGAUGAGACUUGGCCACAGACCAGCAACUGGAAAGGUAGCCAAGGCAUCCAUCAGAAAUAUGGACAAUCCAGUCUGCUUUGGCUAGCUUGGAGCCAACUAGCUGAGGGUAUAAGUCUCUGGAGAACUUUGAUUUUAAGAUUUAUCUAUUUUAUGUAUGUGAGUACACUGUUACUGUUGCUGUCCCUGUCACUAUUUUCAGACACACCAGCAGAGGGCAUCAGAUCCCAUUACAGGUGGUUGUGAGCCACAUGUGGUUGCUUGGAAUUGAACUCUGAACCUCUGGAAGAGCAGUCAGUGCUCUUAACCGUUGAGCCAUCUCUCCAGCCCUCUCAAGAAAACUUCUUAAUACCCAGGCCCUGACUCCCUCCAUCAUUGUAAACAAUGUCUAUUUACCUGUACCUGGUUCCCUAAGUACUUAAUACCCCUCAGGAGUACAACAGCUCUUUUGUCUAUAUAACAGAAAUGUUAUUGCUACCUCUGCUAUCUAUGAGAAAUGUGUAUUUUAAAAGAAAUGUGUUAUUCUUGUCAGCCUUCUGGCAGUGUAACAAAUGACCUUUACCAUUUUCUCUGAGACUCUGGUCUGUGUUUAGGAUGUGUUGCUCAACUGAAAUUAGAUAUAUCAAUGUCCUCUAGGGCUAUCAAAGUACAGGAGCUGACUUUGUGCUGUCACUGAAUGUGACUGUGUCUGGCCUUGACCCUCAGUGGUAUUCUUGAAGUCAUAGCACCAAUCUCCUCCUUAAUCGUUGUUCCUCAUGUGCUCUCUGGAGAUUGUCUCUCUUCUCAUGGUUCCUUGUUCUUGUCAGGGGCCAUCCGUCUGCUAUCCAAACAGGUCUAACAUCUGCCUUUGGUCAUGCCACUCCUAAUGGUGACCCUAGCAAAAUUAAAAUGGAUCAAGUUAAGUCAGAUCCCUAGGUAGUACUUGUAAGAUCCAACAGCCUUGUCUGAAGAGGGGACAGCAGCUCAGGUCCCUCUAAUGCAGUGGAGUGCAUGGGCCUGUAUUCAUUUAGCUCAUAGUUAACAAGUGCCAGCUGUGUACUAGCCUCGGUUGAAAACAUUCGGGACAGCCUCAACCCCAAAAGGAAUGGGCUUCCAGGCAAGGCCACCAAGCCACCUGCAGCUCAAGUCAGUGAGCCAGGGAGGAAGAACCCUGGGGAGUUCCAACCCUCACACUGUAACAGUAGAGGCUCCGCAACCUCCAGUUCAUGGGUUCCCAGGGUGGCUGGUGGCAAAGGGCCGGCCAGAUAGGGAUUGUCACAGUGGAGAUUAAACAGUAAUGUCUGUGUCACCAGAUCCCACCAUCUCUCAAGCCAGCUAGUGGAACUGCCAGUGGGUGCAGGCUGAGAACUAGGAAGUCUGAAGGACUCUGGGAGUCUCUCUGGGAGUCUGUUGACCCUACAUGGUCCACAGCCUUGGGAAAGAGUGUGCACAGAACAAAUAAGCAAAGCUUUGUGUAGGAUGACUGCUACAGAGCCCCGGCUGGUGUGGGUAAGGAGGUACUGCAUUUAAACUCAGUCUGAAAGGAUAAAUGGAGGUGCCUAGAUUAAAACAGGAGAAAACAUAAAUGUAGGGCAUAAAGACCUAAAAGUAUCUUAUAAAUCAUUUUUGAGAUCACAGAUGUAUUCCAGAAUGUUCAUGUUGUCUAAAAUAUGACAAGCAGAAAAAUAGGUUUUUACUCUAAGCAUACACAUACAUUUCAGGUAUAUUAUUACUAAAAAUAAAUUCUUGCAUAACAUCUGUAGAUGCUCAAAAGAACCAUUAACAAAUUCCUGAUUUAUACUUCUGUUUAUUCAUUUUACAUAUAAAAAGUGAAUUUGUUGAAGUGACAUUUUAUACCUGCUCAGAAUUAAUGACUGUGUGUUGGUGUCUUAGAACUUUGAGUUUUGUAAACGAGCAAACAUUCCAUCCUACCUCAGCCUAGGACUGUGUGGAAGGAUGGAAGUGUGGAAAACAGAGGCCUGGGUCAGAUGCUAAGUGGCCCUGAGAAGACUCAGUCUUCUCUCCACUCACAUGGGGAGGAGACUGCUCUGGUCUUGGCAUAGGACCUCCCUCUGUCUUCUCUAAUACGGCUCCCUAAGGAAGGCCACCGUGGGAACACUAACAGUCCAGAAGCCAGACCCUGACCAAGAGCCAAAGAGCCCAUGGCUAGAAAGCAGAAUUAGUCACAGAAGAGAACCUGGGAAAUUGACAGAUAUGUGAACAUAUAUGUUCAGAUAUGUUCAGUGGGAUAGUGAGCAAACCAAGUGGGCACUGGAAAACUCGGCCAGGACAGCUGCAAAAGAAGGAUCGCAAAUCAGCAGCCUGAGGUUCCAUCCUAAGAAAGCAGAGAAUGAACAGACUGAAGCCAAGCAAGUAGGAAGGGAAAAUGAAGUCUCGAAACACAGACACACACACACACACACACACACACACACACACACACACACACACGAAAAGAAAGACCAACAAAAUUAGUGGCUGGCUGGGAGGGCGCUCCCUUCUUCCCUUAAUGCUGCAUGUGGGUCUCUCCUAAAGCUGCAUGCUCGGUCUUCAGUCAAGGGUGUACAAGCCCUGCAUUCCCCACUAGCACUUCUAGUUUGGAAGGCUUGGGCAGGAACCACACAGGAGGCUUGCCUGGACCACACAGGGAGAGCUUGCCUCAAAAAUAAAUGACUGAGCGAAUGAGUAGAGUAGAGUAGAGUAGAAUCUCUGAAAAAACAUAUGCCACUAGACUAAAAUCACUUGUAUGAAAUACACAAAUUCCUGGAAGCACAAAUUGCAGUGCAAAGUAUUUUAAGUAAAUAAAACCUGCCAUAAAAGCCAGCUCAGCAUCGUUGCUUUAACAGUGAAUCUAACCAAGUGUUUAAAGAAUUAACAUCACCUCUCCUUCUUAGAUGCUUCGUAAAUAGGGUUGAGGGAAGCACUGAUCUCACUGUUCCUAUGAAGCCAGGACUACUGAUACCUGAGCCCACAGCAUUGGCAGGAAAGACAACUAGGGCUAGCAAGGUGGCCUGAUGGGUGAAGGUGCUUACUUCCAAGGCUGACCAAGCAGUUUGAUCCUUGGGACCCAGAUAUUGAAAAGACCAGUGACUCUCUCAAGUUGCCCUCUGACCUCCACGUAUGUGCUGUGGCACAUUUGUAUCCACACAUAUACACAAAUAAAUAAAAAUAUAACCCUUCAUGAAAGAAACUUCAUGAAAACACCAGCAGGACUUUACAUCUUGAAUUCAGCAAGAGUUAUAGGGAAUCAAAUAUUUGUCCUGUUUAAUUUUGAUGCCAACUUAACAACAUAGGUAGAUCCUUUCACAAAAAUAAAUAAGUAAAUAAAUACAUGCAUACAUACAUACAUACAUACCUCAGUUGGAAACUGACUCAUCAGAUGACCUGUAGACAUGCAUGUCUGUGAAAUAUUUGCUGACUGAAGUAGGAGGGCACCUCUGGGUGGCACCAUUCUUAGGGUGCUACUGGGCAUGAAGUGUAGCUGAAUGUAAGCCUGGAGCAUGCAUGUAAGCAGCAUCCCUCCAGAGUUUCUGCUUGAAACUUCUGCCUUCAGUUCCUGCCUUGACUCCCCUCAAUAAUGUCUGGAAAACGUACCAUGAAAUAAACCCUUCCCUUCCCAAGUUACUUUUGUUCAGUGUUUAUCACAGCAGUAAAAACUAAAUAAAAAUUGGACAAUAUCAUAAGGAAGUGAGGUUUAUCCCAGGACUGCAAGGCUGGUCUGAACAUGAAAAUCAAUCAGUACUACAUACCAUUUUCAUUCAGUAAGGGACAAAAACACUUCAGGAAAUCUCACGCCCUUUCCCAAUAAACCUUCAGUAAACCUAGAUUAGGAAGUCAUUUCCGGAAAAGCUAACACAUUUUCAUGGUAAAAGACCAUCCCCUGCCCCUAAAAUCAAAAAAGACAAAAUACAUCUCCAAUUCAGCACUUAACUAGCAUGUCCAUGUAGAAGGCAUUACAGAUCAGAGAGAAGGCGGUAAAACUAGGUUUACAUAUGCUGUCAUAUUAUAUGAGCAAAGCACUAGAAACGACAUUCCAACUGUAGGCCACAUACAAUCUACAAUCUCCAUACACAGAGGCAGUAAUACAAAGCAGUUUGUGUUGUAGUUUCAGGAGAAAAAAAAAAGAAAUUUAAAAAGAGAAACUAUAAAAUAUUAAAAGAAACUAAAGCCAUAAAUAAAGGAAAAUACAUUCUAUGUAGUAAAAACUCUAUUUAGGAAGGUGAUAUUGAGCUGUUGGGAUGGCACAGCAGGUUGACACAUUUGUCACCAAGCCUGGCCACGUGAGUUUGGUCCCUGAGACCCCCAUGAUAGAUGGAAAAAAAUGGACCCCCACACACAAGUUAUCCUCUGACUUCCACACCCAAACCAUGGCAAGAGCAUACAUACAUACAUGCACUAAAUCAGCAUAUUAACUGAUUAUCUUU
rnacentral:lncRNA from 1 species